rnacentral:tRNA from 1 species
GCCGACGUAGCUCAGCUGGUAGAGCACUUCACUCGUAAUGAAGGGGUCAGGGGUUCGAGUCCCCUCGUCGGCU